GGAAUUAUCAGAAUUAGUUGAGUAACAUAGAUAAGAUGUGUUAUUUUCAUGAUAUGCUUAUGAGUUAUUUCUCAUAAGAAUGUAUUUUGUUGUACUAUAGUGGUGGCCAUUGGCAGUUAUCUGUUCUAUGUCAGGACUAAGUUGCAUGGGCCACAGGAGAGGGGAGAGGUCAAGGGGUCAUCAUGUGUAAACGUAUCUUUUCGGUGUGGCAGUGACUCCCUACUUUUCUCAUCGGGGAAAGAAGGGUGACAGUGUCUGGAAUCAUUCUAUGCUCCCUCUUUGUUGACCUAUAGGGUCACUCUCCUCUCCGUGAGUUUGUCCUCUGUUUGGUUGUAUUUAGAAUUGUUUCUAAAUAAAUUACAAUUUGUAUAUAUCAUAGGGUGGGGGUAAUGUCUUGGUACCAUUUUGUACCAAGGACGAGAUAAGAGCUUUGUUUAGGAGACCAAACUGAACGAUAAUUUAUAGCCCACUCUGUCUGACUAGGGGAUAUUCUCUCUGAAGUAAGGUUUUUUUCUCUCCCUGUAAGUUCCUAAGACCUGUGUUUUGUCAUGUCGUCUAGGAGGGGGUGGACCUUUGCUAUAAAGGAUCCCAUUUGCCAUUGUGUAAGGACUCUCAACUUUUCAUUAGAGAUACUGAAAUGUUGAAAGUCAAAAUGCUAUUGCAAAAGCUUAAUUAUUAUUAAAGGUGAAGAUUAAGCAUAACUCUGACUCGUGUGAUUUGCUCUCUCAUCAUUUGGUAAUUAAGGAAAUUUCCACGACAUUUGGCGACGGGGAUGGGAUGUGAAUCUUCACUCGGUGAACGCUCCUGACGACCUAGGUAAUCGUGCACAAGGGAUCCCUCAAACUCGGGAUCUCAGGGAGACCACACUUCGAGAACAGAGCAGAUGGACCAACCUAAGAUCGGAGAGGCAGCGAGCCGAGUGGAUACCACAUCCCGAACAUAGUAAAAAAAAAAAAAAAAAGAGGUGAGAUGAGCAAACCACAUUUGAAGUUUGAGUUGGAUAGGACUUAGAGCUUGGUGAAGCCCUAGUGGAAGAAGGACCUCAUUCUGUGUAUCUGUGUGAUUGUCUAAGUGACUCUCAGAGGUGGUGAAUUCCAAUUAUUAUAAAUGUGCUAGCCAGGUAUGCCAUGGGUUACUCUGUGUGAGUACUGUGUAGGAGUGUUCUGUGUGGGCGCGGUAGGUAGACUCUGUGUGGGUUACCUUUUUAUGUUCUGAUGUCCUGUGUGGGUGAUCAGUAAAAUUCUGUGUGAAGUACUUAAGGAAUUCCUGUUGUAUUUUUUGUGUGUGUGUGUGUGUGUGUGUGUGUGUGUGUGUGUGACAGAGAGACAGAGACUAAGAAGCCAUGGGCGUGCGCGAGUGCAAAGAACCAGGCAUUCCGGACCCUCCUACUGGAGCCUUGAAGGUUAUGGUAGAUAAAUGGGUGUUGCCGGACCUCCCUCCUCCUCAGGCGCCUCCUGCUGAUCCGCUGGAUGCAAGACUACUGCAACCUGCAACCCCACCCCCUGUCUCUCCCAACACCACGGUGAUUGAUCGUCUGGCACGGAGCCUGGCUGAAGUCCUGACAGGGUCUGGAGUGACUCCGGCCAGUCUCACUGGAGGCGCAGUGGGGGGAGCACGCCAGAAGGGUAAAAAAGAUCAACAAUCCUUUUCUCAAGGCUCCUCCACUCAGCUCCAGUGAGGUAAGUGAGGACGGAGGGGCACCCCAGCUGACUCCCCCGUUGAAGGACCGUCUACGGACCAGGACGGAGAGGCGUGUCUCUACCCCCUUCCAAUACGACCCAGCAUCAGACAUGUAUCAUCAAUACCCUCUGAUGGCCUGUCCUAACCCUCAGCCUCAACCUGAUGAUGCUAAUGCUGCUGCCGCCGCAGCAUGGAACCCCAUUGUGUAUGUCCGGAGGACGUGGAGACAUGAUGAAAUCAAAGACAUUGUAGAGGACCUACCAGACCCAAGUAAGGACGCUGUGAAAUAUUCAGCAGAGAUGAAGGUAUUAAUGGGUCAGUACAAACCAUCUGCUGCUGAGAUAACCCAUAUCUGUAAAAAGAAACUGGGACUCAGGUGGGCGGAUGUACAGGGACAGUUUGAUUGCAACUACCUGUGGGCUGAGAAUGGCGCAUAUCAGGACCAGAUAACGGCGCUGCUGGCCAGGAUUGUGGAGAUGUAUCCAACUAAGACUGACUGGACUGCUAUCAGAGAAUGCACUAUGAAGAAAGAUGAGGGCCUGGAGGCUUUCAGAAAGAGACUUGAGACCUGUUUCAGGCUACACAGCGGUAUCAGACCAAAAGAACACGCAUAUGGGGAUCUGCUGAAAGACGCCCUAGUGAGGGGUCUGACACCGGGCCUGGAGAAAGCUGUGAGGACUACCUGCAUCAGUUGGGAGACUGAGCCAUUAGCAACGGUGGUACAGCACUGCAAGCAUGCUGAGAGACAACAGAGUACACAGAAGGAAGAAAAAAUAAACGAAGAAUAAGUAAAGACACAGAAACUACAGGCUGCCCAGAUGACGUUUUACAAGGGAGCAGCCCCAGCAGGGACAGGACGAGGGGGUGGAGUGCGCAGGUGCUACAACUGUGGGAUGCCGGGUCAUUUUGCUGCUGACUGCUCCGAGCCAACGAAUCCACAGAGGAACAAAGACAGGGGCGGACCGAGAAGAGGGGUCCGAGAGGAGGGGGCAAGAAGAGGAGGAAAAGGAGCACAUGCAUGGACAGCCCCAUUCCAACAACAGCCGUGGCAGCCACCUCACGGGGUCCAGCAACAGUGGGGACCACAAGGAGUCCCUCCAUGCAAAGGACAAACUGGAGCCUGGCAGACGGGGCCGCCGGCACAGACAACCCUGUACAAUCCAGGACAGGGACAGGAGGAGGAGUAUUGACAUGAUGAGAAGACAGGGACAGUUGUGCUAAAAUCCUCAGAGCAACAAGAGCAUUUGUUUUUAAAGUGUCACACCCUUCCGAGAGUAGAGGCAACAGUGGAGGCUUGCGUCAAUGGUGAGUCAUUAAUAUUUCUUGUUGAUACUGGGGCUGCUAUGUCUGUCAUUAACUGCAAGGCUAUGAUAAAACCUCCCAUGUCUAAUGAAAUAGUCAAAACUAUAGGGGCUUCAGGCCUCCCACUCAGAGAGCAGGUAACUAUGCCUCUGCCUGUCUCCUUUUGUGAAGAGAAGGGUCAACAUCAAUUUCUCUACUCUGACCACUAUCCUGUCAAUCUGAUGGGCAGGGACCUCCUGUGUAAACUGGGCAUCAACAUAACAUGUGGCCGAACCGGUUUAACUGUUAUUCAUGAGGAAGAGGAGGAAGAGGGGGAGCAAUUGAUGUUAAUGUCUGAGUGUUGUGACUGGUAUUAUGCAUGGGAUGUUGAUGAUGAGGUGCCCAAUAUUGCUCGUGUUUUCUCAAUGGCCAAAACCCAUUGGGGCCACGAGGGCAGUUUCAUGUCUGAAGCAGGCUUACAUUGCACCUCCCAUUUUUCACCAUUGACAAGAGAUCUCCAUUAUGAGAAACAAUGGCUGUGUGAUACAUUACAGAAUGAGUCAGUGCAGUGUGAGGGUAUAUACUGUAGCAGUGAUUUCUGUGCUUUAGGGGUUAAUCUAACCCCUGCACAGAAAGAGCUCUACCUGUUUAAGGAUAGCGCACCACAUGUGUCCCUGGCAAAAUCAGACGGAGUAGAAUGGGUGGAUACUGGAAUUUGGAUGAAAUGCUUGGUUGAUGCUACAGACUGGGAGAUGCACCCUGAUGGGUCAACUUAUUCACCCAGCACACUGACAAGUUGUUACCCACUCAGUUGGGGAACACCAACUGAGAGGGGUGUGCAUGGUGUUGAUCAGGUUUCUUUUUCUACCAAUGUCAUGUUGUUGAGUGAAGACUCACCCCUCCUGAGAGGGGUCCCUGAAUGCCUAUGGGCAAGGGACAAGUAUGAUUUUGGGAGAAUAAAGGGAGCUGAGCCAAUGGUAGUCACUCCUAAAGAUACCAGGCGCCCGUCUAGAGCACAGUAUCCACUCAGUAAGGAGGCAAUAGCAGGUAUUACACCUGUUCAUGCAUCCUUGUUAGCUAAUGGUGCUUUAAUUCCCUGUCAAGAAUCACCCUGUAACACCCCUAUCUUGCCUGUUAGAAAACCUUCAGGUGAUUGGAGAUUUGUCCAGGACUUAAGGCCUGUGAACGAUGCAGUUUUUGCCCGUGCCCCGGUGGUUCCUAAUGUUACUACACUGUUGGGGGCGGUACCACCCACAGCAGAGUGGUUCUCUGUGAUUGAUUUCACAAAUGCAUUUUUCAGUAUUCCAGUGGCACCAGAAUCUCAGUUCUGGUUUGCUUUCACGUUUCUAGGGAAGCGUUUUACUUGGACCGUCGCUCCAAUGGGUUAUGUGGAUUCCGCCGCAAUUUUUUCAGCGGCUUUAGCACAAAAUCUGGAGGGUCUUAUACCCCCUGAGGGCAGCACUCUGAUUCAGUAUGUGGAUGAUUUGUUGUUGUGCUCCAGCUCAGUGGAAACUUGUGAAACUGAUACUCGGGCUCUGUUGAUAUUUCUCACUGAGAAUGGCCACAAAGUUUCAAUGAAGAAGUUACAGUUGGUUUCACAGGCAGUGAGGUAUUUGGGUCAUGACAUCUCUCCCAAUGGCAGGCAGCUGGGUAAGGAGAGGAUACAGGCUAUUCUCUCUGUCCCACAGCCGGUUACUAAACGACACAUGAUGUCAUUGACUGGUAUGGCAGGGUAUUGUAGGGCGUGGUUACCUGACUAUGAGUGGCAAAAUUAAGUGGACACCAGAGGGACUGACUGCUCUGACCAAACUGAAACAACGCAUGACUACUUCUCCCUGUUUGGGGCUCCCUGACCAUUCUAAACCUUUUAACCUUUUUGUUUGUGAGAAAAAUGGUUUUAUGUCAUCUGUUUUAACACAGGAACAUGGAGGAAAGCAGCGCCCAGUUGGGUAUUAUUCCAAACAGCUGGACAGUGUGGCCAGAGGUCUGGUUUGUUGUUUGAGAGCUGUGGCUGCUGCUACUGAAGCUGUGUUGGCUUGUGCAGACAUUGUUGCCAUGUGUGAACUCACUGUACACGUUCCUCAUGCUGUACAUGCUCUUAUUUCACAGGCAAAGACGGCCCAUCUAAAACCAGCUCGACUGCUCCAUUAUCAGAAUGUUCUUCUGACAAUGUGUCAUGUGACCCUGAAGAGGUGCACUGUGUUAAAUCCUGCUACUUUGUUGCCCACCGAGGAUGAUGGAGAGCCUCACGACUGUGCUGAACUGUUGGAGCUUGUCUCUAAACCAAGGUCGGAUUUAACUGACGUCCCUUUGCAAAAUGCACAUUUGGAACUGUUUGUAGAUGGCUCUGCUCAGCGUUCUGAGAAAGGAGAACCAUUGGUUGCGUAUGCGGUUACUACUGCCUCAACCAUACUGGAAAGUGCUAAAUUACCCUCCCACCUUUCUGCUCAAGCAGCAGAACUCUUUGCACUCACUAGAGCUUGCAUAUUAGCUAAAGGCCAGUCUGCUACAAUCUAUACAGAUAGCAGAUAUGCCUUUGGUGUGGUACAUGAUUUUGGUACUCUGCGGAAACAGCACGGCUUCCUGACCUCCUCUGGUAAGGCGAUCUCUCAUUCAAAACUUGUUGAUAACUUGCUAAAAGCUAUUUUGCUCCCUUCUGAAAUUGCUGUUUGUAAGUGCCUUGCUCAUGCUAACUCUUCCGACCCUGUCUCCAAAGGUAAUGCUAUGGCUGACUUGGCAGCUAAGGCAGCAGCUGUCUCCUUGGAGGCCCCUGUGUUACAGAUGGUUUUAGUUCCUGAUAGUAACCUCUUCUCUCCCACUGAUAUCUCUGACUUACAAUCCUCUGUAGGUCCUGUUGAGUUGAGAAAGUGGAAACGACUAUGUACAUAUGACCAGGUGCAGAAACUCUGGCUGGGCCCGGCUGGGCUACCAGUCUUACCACGUUCAUGUUUCCCCUACUUAGCUAAGUUGUCACAUGGAAGAGAUCAUGUGUCAAAGGGGGGAGUUGUUGAUUUUGUAAAUACAUUUUGGUUUGCACCUGGGUUUUCUGUGUUUGCUGAACAAUUUUGUGCAAAAUGUGUGAUUUGUAUGACUAACAACAUGGGAAGAGGUAUUCCCAUGCCACUGUCGGCUCAUCCAACCCCUGAAGGACCAUUUGAACACAUAAUGAUGGAUUUGAUUGAACUCUCUCCUUGGCAAGGUUACAAAUAUUGUCUGGUGAUAGUGGAUGCCUUCUCCAAGUGGGUAGAGGCAUUCCCAUGUCGACAUUCCACUGCUAUGGCAGUAGCCAAGAAUCUCCUUAGGGAGAUCAUCCCAAGGUGGGGGUUACCAUCUAAAUUAACCAGCGACAAUGGCUCCCACUUUGUAAACCUGGUGAUACAGAACUUGUCUGAGAGUCUGCAGAUAGACCUCAGGACCCAUUGUAGCUAUAGGCCGCAAUCCGGAGGUUUAAUUGAACGCGUUAAUCAAACGCUGAAAUCUAAGAUGGUGAAGCUUAUGGCAGAGACGGGGCUUUCUUGGGUCACUGUGAUCCCCCUGGCGCUGAUGUACAUGCGAGAGAGGCCCCACAGAACCACUGGAAUGGCUCCUCAUGAGGUUCUGACAGGUAGACCAAUGAGGAUGAUUAAUUCUCCUUUCCCACAGAACAAGCUGACACUGAUGGGCUGCGACGAUGACAUGGUAAGUUAUUGUAUUGCUCUAAACAAUGUUCUGAAGGCUAUUUUCCCCAGGGUGAAAGCGGCUCUACCCCAGCCACUGGUGGGGAUCCUGCACAAACUGCAACCAGGUGACUGGGUGGUGGUGAAAGACCUGAGACGAAAGCAUUGGAACCAGCAGAGGUGGACUGGACCAUACCAGGUGAUGCUGAUUACCCCUACUGCUGUUCACGUAGCUGAGAGGUCUACUUGGAUCCACGCCAAUCACUGCAGGAAGGUGCCAUACUGCCCACCAGACCCUGAGGAUAAAGGACCAGAGACGCCGGAAGUCACCGACUAGAUGGGAAGAUCAGGCCCAGACUCUACGCAUCAUGUUUCUUGCUCUGGUCUUGAGCAUUCUCAUUACAGUUGCCAUAUGGACAGUGACUCAAGGACAACCGGUCCUGGAAAGACAACAUGGUACGGACUCGACUGAUAACCGUUCAGUCCCACUGCGGGACUUAAAUAACAGCCACUCCAGCUCGAGCCAACGGCAGGCUCAGGACAGGAGUCCAGCAAACAAUAGCCGCUCCCAUAUCGAAAGAAGAAGAAGGUCAAUGCAUCCACUGGAUGAGCAUCACAGUAGGAAUCACGAGGGAAACACUUGGUGGUCACUGCUUAACUAUACAGUAAAGACUGAACUGAUGUUAGGAAAUACCUCCUGUUAUGUAUGUAGCUUGUUUCCACAUUCAGCGAUCUCCCCAUUUUUACAGUAUUCAGUAGAGUUCAGCAUUAAAGACACUAUGUGCACUAGAGGCGCUCUUGUCAAAUGAGAACACAUGGGGUCAACCUUCACUAGGUAGAACACUGAGGGAUAAAUGCAUUAAUGGUCAUUUGUCAUCAACAAAAGAUUUACGGGGGGGAUUUGAUUGUUCACAUUGGUGUAGUAGAAUAAUCUUAGAACCUAGAUCCCGUGUACCAGAACCUAUUAAAGUCCAACCCCGGCGAACCCCAUUUAGGACCUGUCAUUGUCACAAUCCAAGCAAUAUUUCCAUACCACAAUUGAAUGAAUCCUAUCUGGGAAUGUCAACAUGUGUCAAUUAUAGUGUUUUCCCAAUAGGAUGUAGCUGGAAGAAGGGAACAUGCAGCUCUGGAUACCCCAUUAGACUGAGGGUGGGACACACCAUUAUUGAUGCUGAAACUGACAGUCGUUCUCCUCAUCAAUUUGGCUCGGCAACAUUUACUGAUCAUUAUUGGAUUUGUGGGGAUAAAGCUUAUCUCUACCUACCCACAAAUUGGACAGGGUGCUGUGUUUUUGGUAAACUAAACAUCUCCCUUGUGGUAAUGCAUAAAACUAAUUCCUCUAUUCCAAGCAGGUUAAGACUAAUUAAGAGGGACAUCUCGCAAUACAAUAAUGUCCCUAGUGACUCUCGACAAUCCUCGAAAUUGGAAAAGUUCUGGCGUGGUUUAAUCCCCUGGUAUGGGGCAUCGGAGAAUGCACAUGAGUUGGAUAGGCUAGGAUAUCAUUUGGAAUCCCUGGUAAAUUUGACCACUGCAGGGUUUUCUAUGAUAAGACCAGAAUUACAAGCCACUCAACUCAUGGCAACACAAAAUAGGGUGGCACUUGACAUGUUGCUAGCACGUGAAGGAGGAGUGUGUCAAAUUAUAGGAGAUCACUUUUGUACAUUUAUACCCCAGGGAGAUGACAAUUUGACUAUUGUAGUGGAACAUUUGAAAGAGCUUAGGGGUGUUCUCGAAAGGGAACACCAGCCUGACAUCAACUGGAAUCCGUUAGGAUGGGUUCAGUCAGUGUUUGGUGCUUGGGCUGCGACCAUUUUCCACUGGUUAAUCUAUGGUCUAAUAUUACUGAUUGCUCUGUUGCUAAUUAUAAUUUGUGUGAAGAAAUUGUUUAAUAAAGUGGUUGAUGUUGUUCUUACUAUGCCCUUGCUUGCAAAUGAAGUAGGUGUAGAUGAGGAAUCUGAGAUUGAUGGACAACAAUCAGGUGAACACAGUGAAAUAUUCUCACUGGACAGUGUAGAGAGAGGGUUCACUGUAUAUGAAUGAUUUCCCUGACCCAUUCCCUAUUCCUGACUAUAUCUCUGAUAGUGGGGAAUCCAAUUCUAAGCAUGAGUACUUAGAGGGAUGACUGUCCUAUAGGUUGUAACGAUGCCUGUGUUUAGGUUGUAAUGAUGCCUGUGUUUAGGUUAUCUUGUAAUUUUGGGAGCAUUUAUGUUUUUUUAUUUUUACUCAACAAAUGUAUUAUUCUAUAUGUUUAAACAGGUGCAAGUCUGUUAUGGUAUAAACAUUGUAAACUCAGUUUCUGACGGGUGAAUACUUACAUUGAAGGGAUUUGAUUCUUUAUUAUCUUUAAAUUUUAAUUAUGGAUUUUUUAAUUGUAUUAUAUACUCUGCUGUUAGUAAGGUGCCAUGUUACUAUUCUGAUUCUUCAGAAGUGACUGAGUCCCUUGAGAGGGGAAUGUUGUGGAAUUGGUUGAGUAACAUAGAUAAGAUGUGUUAUUUUCAUGAUAUGCUUAUGAGUUAUUUCUCAUAAGAAUGUAUUUUGUUGUACUAUAGUGGUGGCCAUUGGCAGUUAUCUGUUCUAUGUCAGGACUAAGUUGCAUGGGCCACAGGAGAGGGGAGAGGUCAAGGGGUCAUCAUGUGUAAACGUAUCUUUUCGGUGUGGCAGUGACUCCCUACUUUUCUCAUCGGGGAAAGAAGGGUGACAGUGUCUGGAAUCAUUCUAUGCUCCCUCUUUGUUGACCUAUAGGUUCACUCUCCUCUCCGUGAGUUUGUCCUCUGUUUGGUUGUAUUUAGAAUUGUUUCUAAAUAAAUUACAAUUUGUAUAUAUCAUAGGGUGGGGGUAAUGUCUUGGUACCAUUUUGUACCAAGGACGAGAUAAGAGCUUUGUUUAGGAGACCAAACUGAACGAUAAUUUAUAGCCCACUCUGUCUGACUAGGGGAUAUUCUCUCUGAAGUAAGGUUUUUUCUCUCCCUGUAAGUUCCUAAGACCUGUGUUUUGUCAUGUCGUCUAGGAGGGGGUGGAUCUUUGCUAUAAAGGAUCCCAUUUGCCAUUGUGUAAGGACUCUCAACUUUUCAUUAGAGAUACUGAAAUGUUGAAAGUCAAAAUGCUAUUGCAAAAGCUUAAUUAUUAUUAAAGGUGAAGAUUAAGCAUAA